GUAUGGAUAGCUCAGUUGGUUAGAGCAUGGUGCUGACAAUGCCAAAGUUGCAGGUUCCAUUCAGGGACAGCUGCAUAUU